rnacentral:rRNA from 1 species
GACGGAGGAUGCAAGCGUUAUCCGGAAUGAUUGGGCGUAAAGCGUCCGCAGGUGGCAGUUCAAGUCUGCUGUCAAAGACCGGGGCUUAACUUCGGAAAGGCAGUGGAAACUGAACAGCUAGAGUAUGGUAGGGGCAGAGGGAGUUCCCGGUGUAGAGGUGAAAUUCGUAGAUAUCGGGAGGAACACCGGUGGCGAAGGCGGCGAUCUGGGUAGAUACUGACGCUGAGGUGCGAAAGCGUGGGGAGCAAACAGG